rnacentral:lncRNA from 1 species
ACCAGGGCAGCAGGCAACACUUGGGAUUUGAAGACACUGGCAAAGAAAAAAGCAGCCCACAAAUAGCCGGUAGAAAGCCCUACAACAUGGCAGCAAACAUUUCCUAAUUUACUGCAAUGCCAGAAGGAAUGGAGCAGCUCUUUUGGCAAGUUCUGUGAACCCUUUGGUUUGUCUCUGCUGCAUCUGGGCAGUGAUGGCACAGGAGGUGAGGGAAUCAUUUUGCUUCUCCUGAGGCAGAUUCACUAAAAGGUCCCACCCUAUGGACCAGAGCUGAGGAGCUG